CCUACGGGAGGCAGCAGUGGGGAAUUUUGGACAAUGGGCGCAAGCCUGAUCCAGCAAUGCCGCGUGCAGGAAGAAGGCCUUCGGGUUGUAAACUGCUUUUGUACGGAACGAAACGGUCUGGGUUAAUACCUCGGGCUAAUGACGGUACCGUAAGAAUAAGCACCGGCU
rnacentral:rRNA from 1 species